GGAUGUGAGGGCGAUCUGGCUGCGACAUCUGUCACCCCAUUGAUCAACAGGGUUGAUUUGGCUGAUCUGGCUGGCUAGGCGGGUGUCCCCUUCCUUUGUCACCGCUCCAUGUGCGUCCCUCCCAAAGCUGCAAGCUCGGUCUAAGAGGAUGACCUUCCUCGAUAGAGGAAGACCGUUCUUCGGUCAAGGGUAUAGCAGUAGCUGUGCUCCCCUGCUAGAACCCCCAAACAAGCUCUCAAGAACCUUCUGACAUGAGAGCUUCUCAGCAAAGGAAUGGUCUACAUCGGGAACUAUUGAGUUCUCCGUGUCU
rnacentral:snRNA from 1 species